GACAGAGGGUGCAAACGUUGUUCGGAAUUACUGGGCGUAAAGGGCGCGUAGGCGGCCUGGCAAGUGGAAGGUGAAAUCCCUCGGCUUAACCGAGGAACUGCCUCCCAAACUGCUUGGCUUGAGACCGGGAGAGGUGAGUGGAAUUCCCAGUGUAGCGGUGAAAUGCGUAGAUAUUGGGAGGAACACCAGUGGCGAAGGCGGCUCACUGGACCGGUACUGACGCUGAUGCGCGAAAGCCAGGGGAGCAAACGGG
rnacentral:rRNA from 1 species